UACGAAGGGGGCUAGCGUUGCUCGGAAUCACUGGGCGUAAAGCGCACGUAGGCGGCUUUCUAAGUCAGGGGUGAAAUCCUGGAGCUCAACUCCAGAACUGCCCUUGAUACUGGAGAGCUUGAGUUCGGGAGAGGUGAGUGGAACUGCGAGUGUAGAGGUGAAAUUCGUAGAUAUUCGCAAGAACACCAGUGGCGAAGGCGGCUCACUGGCCCGAUACUGACGCUGAGGUGCGAAAGCGUGGGGAGCAAACAGGAUUAAGAUACCCGUGACGUCC
rnacentral:rRNA from 1 species